AUGGGGCUCAAAUCACCUAUUCAGGGCAAACACCUACCACUGGACUACACUACCCACAACCCCCUGCUGUCUGUCAGGACUCGGGACCACACUACCCACAACCCCCUGCUGUCUGUCAGGACUCUGGACCACACUACCCACAACCCCCUGCUUUCUGUCAGGGCUACACUACCCACAACCCCCGCUUUCAGUCAGGACUCUGGACUACACUACCCACAACCCCCUGCUGUCUAUCAGGACUCGGGACCACACUACCCACAACCCCCUGCUGUCUGUCAGGACUCUGGACCACACUACCCACAACCCCCUGCUUUCUGUCAGGACUCUGGACCACACUACCCACAACCCCCUGCUUUCUGUCAGGGCUACACUACCCACAACCCCCCGCUUUCAGUCAGGACUCUGGACUACACUACCCACAACCCCCUGCUGUCUAUCAGUACUCUGGACUACACUACCCACAACCCCCUGCUGUCUGUCAGGACUCUGGACUACACUGCCCACAACCCCCUGCUUUCUGUCAGGACGCUGGACUACACUACCCACAACCCCCGGCUGUCGGUCAAGACUACACCACCCACAACCCCCUGCUGCCUGUCAGGACUACACUACCCACAACCCCCUGCUGUCUGUCAGGACUACACUACCCACAACCCCCUGCUGUCUGUCUGUCAGGACUGGACUACACUGCCCACAACCCCCUGCUGUCUGUCAGGACUACACUGCCCACAACCCCCUGCUGUCUGUCGGUAUUCUGGACUACACUACCCACAACCCCCUGCUGUCUGUCUGUCAGGACUGGACUACACUACCCACAACCCCCUGCUGUAUGUCUGUCAGGGAUGGACUACACUACCCACAACACCCUGCUGUCUGUCUGUCAGGACUGGACUACACUACCCACAACCCCCUGCUGUCUGUCUGUCAGGACUGGACUACACUACCCACAACCCCCUGCUGUCUGUCUGUCAGGGCUGGACUACGCUAACCAGAGUUCCUUGGCUCACAGACCAACCUCUAGCCUGGAAGUCAAAGGUGAUACUGUCGGGUCGUCAUGGGUACCGAUGUCCUGGGUGUGGUCGUCAUGGUUACAGACUUGGUCCAGUGGGUUUAGGACAUAUCAGGGUCUAA
rnacentral:lncRNA from 1 species